GACGAACGCUGGCGGCGUGCUUAACACAUGCAAGUCGAACGGAAAGGCCCCUUUGGGGGUACUCGAGUGGCGAACGGGUGAGUAACACGUGAGUAACCUGCCCUUGCCUUCGGGAUAACUUCAGGAAACUGGGGCUAAUACCGGAUAGGAAUCCUUGCUGCAUGGUGGGGGUUGGAAAGCUUCGGCGGGUUUGGAUGGACUCGCGGCUUAUCAGCUUGUUGGUGGGGUAGUGGCUUACCAAGGCUUUGACGGGUAGCCGGCCUGAGAGGGCGACCGGCCACAUUGGGACUGAGAUACGGCCCAGACUCCUACGGGAGGCAGCAGUGGGGAAUAUUGCACAAUGGGCGGAAGCCUGAUGCAGCAACGCCGCGGGCGGGAUGACGGCCUUCGGGUUGUAAACCGCUUUCAGCAGGGGCGAAGCUUGUGGUGACGGUACCUGCAGAAGAAGCACCGGCUAACUACGUG
rnacentral:rRNA from 1 species